CGGAAGUAAAUAGCUCAACUAGCACAAAGUCAAAAUGAAGAGACUCAAAGGCAGACGUGCUUUGGCAGCUAGCUCCAUACGUGCAUGAGGGUGGUACUUACUGCACAAAAGAAAAGCUCUUAUGUUUUGCUGUACCCAAUGUGCACAAAAACCACACCAAAGCAAGGUAAGCACCAAGAUUUUCACAAGCUGUCUGCGUUUGGCAAAAAAACACAACAGUGGCAUCUCGCUGACCCGGCCAAACAAGGGGCCGCAAGCAGAUAGCCACACAAUGGCGCCACAGUGCAAGGCCCUGGCCGAGACAAAAGAAGCCGGCGAGCGAGAAACAUUCUCACUUGUUCAUCACGUCCCCCUAAUCAGCCGCAAACACUCGUCAGUUUCUGCUCCACUUCCUCUUCGCCCGUCUUGACACCAAAAGUAAGAAUACUAUACAAAUGGUGUGUAUGUGGUGGUUUUACACAUUGCAGAAUAUUGUAGCAUCCUCUGAGUACUAUGGAAUGGCAGCUGAAUGGAGGCUUCUUCUCGCUGGUGGAGAUGCAACAUGUGGCCGCCCUCUAUGGUCAAGGGUUAAUUCAAUCGGGUCAAGUUUUCGGAUCCCAGUGGCCAGACGCCAGCCGGUGUUUCUUUGAGGGGUGUGAGGUUGAGGGGGUUUCAUGCUGUCACAACAAACAAAAACUUUUGCAGACCUCCAGUGAAGCAGAUGGUCUUCCAUUUUCUUGCUCACAUUCCCAAACAGGGAAGUCUCAGAUUGCUGGAUUGCAUCUAAUCCUAAAUGUCUUAAAUGACGCCAGCUAAUCUGAUAAAUGGAUUUAUCAUAAAAUAAAUGCACAUUUAACCGCAUACAAUAGUAAAAUCAAGAACGAGACCCCACAUUAAAAAGAACAAUAAUCAGAAAAAAAGGGGGAAAAUAAUUAUAACAGAAGAACGAAACCAGACAUGAAUAAGAUCAACAAAAUAAUACAAAGGACACCAACAAAUAUAAAUAAGAAAAAAAUAGAGAACAACACGUAACAAGAAUUGCAAAGAACCAAAAGAGGAAUAAGAACAAAAUGAACAACCACAAUACUAACGCAGGGGGCCCUGGAACCUUUCUGAGCAGCCCUGGCUAACACCAAAAAUAUAAAUGACACGAAAAAAUAUAAUAAUUAAUGUAUUUAACAUUUUAUGCUGAGCAUCUUGUCUGGUAUCGGUUCCCUAAAAACACAAAACAGCUGUGAACACCAUUUACUGACGUCCAACUCAGUUCAUCGAUAAUCACAACCCAAAUUAAACAUCCAUUAAUUUACAUUUUUACCUGAAAUGCUUUUCAAUCAUCUGUGGAUGGGGGGAAAAAAUCGGAAUGUGUGUCGUCUGCUGUUACCACUCCGCCGCGACUAGGACUGUUAGCAUCGUUAGCAUGUCGUACGCUACCCCCCACCCCAACCUCCGGGUGAACAGACGCGAUAACAAGGAGGGAAAAAAACACCCACCUUGGUGCCUUGCUGGCGGCACUGCGUCAAGCCGCGAUGCCCACACGCGAUUACACUCCGAUUUGACGCCGAGAGAAGAGCAUUCAGUCGGCUAGAAAAGACAGCAUCACUCGACGGUACUUCGAAUGGUUCCGAGCUAAUGGGGCUAACAGCUAGCCCCCCACUUAACUCCAAACUGGCCGUGUGGGCUCAUAUCGGCAACAAA